CAUAAUUCAAGCUUCUGCUUGGUGUUGAGCGGUUUGACUUCAGUCAACUCGUUCCAAACUCAUUGGCAUUUGUCUUUAUGGUCCACAACGUGACAGAAUUGAUCGUUGCAAACUUAGAGACCGAUAGCCAGUCUUUUUGAAC
rnacentral:misc_RNA from 1 species